UUAGCCUAGCUCUCUCUCUCUCUCACAUAGUCAUCUUCCUCCCUCAGCCAUCCAAGCUUAACUCCACAGUUCACAUCCACGAGGGGUUUCUUCCAAAUUGGUUUGAUAGGAAGGUGAUGUUGUUGUUGCUGUCGCUGACAGACUAUUUUUCCUGGGUCGUGGUUGGUGGGUGUUACUGCGAAUGCUUACAAGGUUGCUGAUUCUCCUUCUAAGGUCUCUCUUUCUCUCUAUUUCUUCAAAUUCUAAGGUUUUUUUUUUUUUGGGUUACUUUUUUUUUUAAUUUCUUUUGCUAAUUGUAAUUGGGCCUUUGUUGCAGAGGUGGAUUUGUUUUGUGCCCAAAAGA